UUCUGCUUUGAUGAUAUUUGUAUAAUCCCAGCUCUAUGAGACCUUUUGUAGGUCGGGGAAUAGUCUAUACCCAUAAAAUAUCUGAGCCUAAAG
rnacentral:snoRNA from 2 species